CUGCCUCUUUCCUUGCCCUUCACCCACCCUGCCUCCAGGUCCUCCAAAUGCAGUGAGGUUAGGAAGGACGUCUGCGCUCAGAUCAAGAAUCCAGUUACCUCAAAGCUCCCCAACUUCCACCUCCGCAGAGCUAUGAUGUCAUGGCAGGCACGCCAGAGGCCGAUGGAUGCAAAAGUGGUUUUCUGCUUUCGAUGAUGCAAUCAUUCAGCGACAGUGGCGGGCAAACCCCUCCCGGGGCGGGGGAGGUGUGAGCUUCACGAAGGAGGUUGAUACCAACGUGGCCACCGGCGCCCCUCCACGCCGCCAACGAGUCCCCGGGCGUGCGUGCCCUCGGAGGGAGCCAAUCCGCCGCCGGCGUGGGGCCCGGCCCGGCGGAGGUGGUGCUGGAGGGACGCCCGGGGAGACAGUACGUCACUGCUCUGCGCCGGAAGACCCUAUUUUCAGGUUCUCUUCCCUCCAUUCCUACCCCUUCCCCGGUACCAUAAAAUCCUGGGAUAUGAGCCGGAAGAGGCAUCAUCUGAUCCCGGAGACCCUUGGAGUUAAGAGGCGGCGGAAGCGAGGGCCUGUGGAGUCGGAUCCUCUUCGGGGUGAGCCAGGGUCGGCGCGCGCGGCUGUCUCAGAACUCAUGCAGCUGUUCCCGCGAGGCCUGUUUGAGGACGCGCUGCCGCCCAUCGUGCUGAGGAGCCAAGUGUACAGCCUCGUGCCUGACAGGACCGUGGCCGACCGGCAGCUGGUGAGGGGCGUCGGUGCGACCGCCGGAAGCCCCUUUCCUAACUCCUGGAAUUUACUGUCACACAGUCACUCCGCCAGCCGUUCAGCAAGCAUUAGGCCUUUCAGGCGAGGGCACUGUGCCAGGCACUGGGGUGCCACAGAGACCCUGUUAAAAGGCCCGCAGGUAGUACAGGGCAUUUCAAAUCAUGGAGGUAGAAGAACGAGGCUUUUGGGGAAACCGAGUCAGGGGGCAUGGUUCGAACAUACAGCACUGGGAGUGCAGUCAGACGUCAGAUCAUGACAGGCCUUGUACAUCAGUGUUGUUUCCAUCUUACACUGAGGCGAUGGGCUGGUAGAGAAUAUCAUAGAGAGAGGGAAUGGUGUAUUGAAGGUAGUGGAUGAGACAGGGAGGUCAGCUAAGAAGAUACUGCAUCUGAGAAGUGGUGAAGGCCUAAAUUAGGUCAGUGCAGUAGGGAGGGAGAGGAGAGUGAGGAAGAGGGAGGAGUCCAGGACAACUCAGACUUUCCAGAUGACUGCGUGGCUAGUGGUAUUAGGAGCACAUGUAGUUGUUGGACUACAGAUAAUGUGUUUAAUUUUGUACAAGCUGAGUUGAUGGUGCAGGUGGAGCAUCCAAAGACAAA
rnacentral:sRNA from 1 species